rnacentral:rRNA from 1 species
UACGUAGGUGACCAGCGUUGUCCGGAUUUACUGGGCGUAAAGAGCGCGCAGGCGGUCGUUCAAGUCGAGUGUGAAAUCCCCCGGCUCAACCGGGGAAUUGCGCCUGAUACUGGCGGGCUAGAGGUCGAUAGGGGUGAGCGGAACUCCAGGUGGAGCGGUGAAAUGCGUAGAUAUCUGGAGGAACACCGGUGGCGAAAGCGGCUCACUGGAUCGAAACUGACGCUGAGGUGCGAAAGCUAGGGUAGCAAACGGG